UAAGCGACUAAGCGUACACGGUGGAUGCCCUGGCAGUCAGAGGCGAUGAAGGACGUGCUAAUCUGCGAUAAGCGUCGGUAAGGUGAUAUGAACCGUUAUAACCGGCGAUUUCCGAAUGGGGAAACCCAGUGUGAUUCGUCACACUAUCAUUAACUGAAUCCAUAGGUUAAUGAGGCGAACCGGGGGAACUGAAACAUCUAAGUACCCCGAGGAAAAGAAAUCAACCGAGAUUCCCCCAGUAGCGGCGAGCGAACGGGGAGCAGCCCAGAGCCUGAAUCAGUGUGUGUGUUAGUGGAAGCGUCUGGAAAGGCGUGCGAUACAGGGUGACAGCCCCGUACACAAAAAUGCACAUACUGUGAGCUCGAUGAGUAGGGCGGGACACGUGGUAUCCUGUCUGAAUAUGGGGGGACCAUCCUCCAAGGCUAAAUACUCCUGACUGACCGAUAGUGAACCAGUACCGUGAGGGAAAGGCGAAAAGAACCCCGGCGAGGGGAGUGAAAAAGAACCUGAAACCGUGUACGUACAAGCAGUGGGAGCACGCUUAGGCGUGUGACUGCGUACCUUUUGUAUAAUGGGUCAGCGACUUAUAUUCUGUAGCAAGGUUAACCGAAUAGGGGAGCCGAAGGGAAACCGAGUCUUAACUGGGCGUUAGUUGCAGGGUAUAGACCCGAAACCCGGUGAUCUAGCCAUGGGCAGGUUGAAGGUUGGGUAACACUAACUGGAGGACCGAACCGACUAAUGUUGAAAAAUUAGCGGAUGACUUGUGGCUGGGGGUGAAAGGCCAAUCAAACCGGGAGAUAGCUGGUUCUCCCCGAAAGCUAUUUAGGUAGCGCCUCGUGAAUUCAUCUCCGGGGGUAGAGCACUGUUUCGGCAAGGGGGUCAUCCCGACUUACCAACCCGAUGCAAACUGCGAAUACCGGAGAAUGUUAUCACGGGAGACACACGGCGGGUGCUAACGUCCGUCGUGAAGAGGGAAACAACCCAGACCGCCAGCUAAGGUCCCAAAGUCAUGGUUAAGUGGGAAACGAUGUGGGAAGGCCCAGACAGCCAGGAUGUUGGCUUAGAAGCAGCCAUCAUUUAAAGAAAGCGUAAUAGCUCACUGGUCGAGUCGGCCUGCGCGGAAGAUGUAACGGGGCUAAACCAUGCACCGAAGCUGCGGCAGCGACGCUUAUGCGUUGUUGGGUAGGGGAGCGUUCUGUAAGCCUGUGAAGGUGUACUGUGAGGUAUGCUGGAGGUAUCAGAAGUGCGAAUGCUGACAUAAGUAACGAUAAAGCGGGUGAAAAGCCCGCUCGCCGGAAGACCAAGGGUUCCUGUCCAACGUUAAUCGGGGCAGGGUGAGUCGACCCCUAAGGCGAGGCCGAAAGGCGUAGUCGAUGGGAAACAGGUUAAUAUUCCUGUACUUGGUGUUACUGCGAAGGGGGGACGGAGAAGGCUAUGUUGGCCGGGCGACGGUUGUCCCGGUUUAAGCGUGUAGGCUGGUUUUCCAGGCAAAUCCGGAAAAUCAAGGCCGAGGCGUGAUGACGAGGCACUACGGUGCUGAAGCAACAAAUGCCCUGCUUCCAGGAAAAGCCUCUAAGCAUCAGGUAACAUCAAAUCGUACCCCAAACCGACACAGGUGGUCAGGUAGAGAAUACCAAGGCGCUUGAGAGAACUCGGGUGAAGGAACUAGGCAAAAUGGUGCCGUAACUUCGGGAGAAGGCACGCUGAUACGUAGGUGAAGCGACUUGCUCGUGGAGCUGAAAUCAGUCGAAGAUACCAGCUGGCUGCAACUGUUUAUUAAAAACACAGCACUGUGCAAACACGAAAGUGGACGUAUACGGUGUGACGCCUGCCCGGUGCCGGAAGGUUAAUUGAUGGGGUUAGCGCAAGCGAAGCUCUUGAUCGAAGCCCCGGUAAACGGCGGCCGUAACUAUAACGGUCCUAAGGUAGCGAAAUUCCUUGUCGGGUAAGUUCCGACCUGCACGAAUGGCGUAAUGAUGGCCAGGCUGUCUCCACCCGAGACUCAGUGAAAUUGAACUCGCUGUGAAGAUGCAGUGUACCCGCGGCAAGACGGAAAGACCCCGUGAACCUUUACUAUAGCUUGACACUGAACAUUGAGCCUUGAUGUGUAGGAUAGGUGGGAGGCUUUGAAGUGUGGACGCCAGUCUGCAUGGAGCCGACCUUGAAAUACCACCCUUUAAUGUUUGAUGUUCUAACGUGGACCCGUAAUCCGGGUUGCGGACAGUGUCUGGUGGGUAGUUUGACUGGGGCGGUCUCCUCCUAAAGAGUAACGGAGGAGCACGAAGGUUGGCUAAUCCUGGUCGGACAUCAGGAGGUUAGUGCAAUGGCAUAAGCCAGCUUGACUGCGAGCGUGACGGCGCGAGCAGGUGCGAAAGCAGGUCAUAGUGAUCCGGUGGUUCUGAAUGGAAGGGCCAUCGCUCAACGGAUAAAAGGUACUCCGGGGAUAACAGGCUGAUACCGCCCAAGAGUUCAUAUCGACGGCGGUGUUUGGCACCUCGAUGUCGGCUCAUCACAUCCUGGGGCUGAAGUAGGUCCCAAGGGUAUGGCUGUUCGCCAUUUAAAGUGGUACGCGAGCUGGGUUUAGAACGUCGUGAGACAGUUCGGUCCCUAUCUGCCGUGGGCGCUGGAGAACUGAGGGGGGCUGCUCCUAGUACGAGAGGACCGGAGUGGACGCAUCACUGGUGUUCGGGUUGUCAUGCCAAUGGCACUGCCCGGUAGCUAAAUGCGGAAGAGAUAAGUGCUGAAAGCAUCUAAGCACGAAACUUGCCCCGAGAUGAGUUCUCCCUGACCCUUUAAGGGUCCUGAAGGAACGUUGAAGACGACGACGUUGAUAGGCCGGGUGUGUAAGCGCAGCGAUGCGUUGAGCUAACCGGUACUAAUGAACCGUGAGGCUUAACCU
rnacentral:rRNA from 1 species